CAAUAGCGUAUAUUUAAGUUGUUGCAGUUAAAAAGCUCGUAGUUGGAUUUCGGGUGGGACGCAGCGGUCUCGCAUUGCGUUUGUACUGCUGCAGCCCUCCUUCUUGCCGGGGGCGGCCUCUCGGGCUUCACUGUCUGGGGGUCAGAAUCGGCGAUGUUACUUUGAGUAAAUUAGAGUGUUCAAAGCAAGCUUACGCUCUGAAUAUAAUAGCAUGGGAUAACACGACAGGACUCUGGCCUAUCGUGUUGGUCUAUAGGACCAGAGUAAUGAUUAAGAGGGACAGUCGGGGGCAUUCGUAUUCCGUUGUCAGAGGUGAAAUUCUUGGAUUUACGGAAGACGAACAUCUGCGAAAGCAUUUGCCAAGGAUGUUUNCAUUG
rnacentral:rRNA from 1 species